rnacentral:tmRNA from 1 species
GGGGGCGUAAAGGCUUCGACGGGGGUUGUGAGCUUCAGUAAGCGAGCAGUGGUAUCGGCCAACACUUUAAAAGUCGUAAAUUAUAAAUUAAAUAACAACAAUACAAUUGCUGUUGCUGCUUAAUUAAGCAGCCGUCCGAGCUUCGAGUACCGCGGCUUAGCAAGGGCGUCAAUUAGCGGUGAACGUGAACAGAGGAGUGUUUCGGCUUCUGUCAUGCAAUAGGAACUACCGUAGUCAGUAGCUUGCCUGUUAGCGGCUGAUGAGGGGAAUCCCAAACAACCGGCUACGCUCGUAGAAAGCUGCUGUAAGUGACUUUCGGACACGGGUUCAAUUCCCGUCGCCUCCACCA